AUUCCGCAAGGAAGUAAGAUCCCUGAAAGAUGAUCAGGUUGAUAGGUCUGAGGUGGAAGUGUGGCGACACAUGGAGCUGACAGAUACUAAUCGAUCGAGGACUUAACCAAUUU
rnacentral:rRNA from 1 species